UACAGAGGUCCCAAGCGUUGUUCGGAUUCACUGGGCGUAAAGGGUGCGUAGGCGGUCGGGUAAGUCUGAUGUGAAAUCUCACAGCUUAACUGUGAAACUGCAUUGGAUACUAUCCGGCUCGAGGAAUGGAGGGGAGACUGGAAUACUUGGUGUAGCAGUGAAAUGCGUAGAGACCCGGAGGAACACCAGUGGCGAAGGCGGCUCCCUGGCCUAGUACUGACGCUGUGGCGCGAAAGCUGGGGGAGCGAACGGG
rnacentral:rRNA from 1 species